GCCAGAACGGGGGUGGGGUGGGGGCUCUGGAGGAGCCCAGAGAAGACAUUUUACUCUUUCUGUCCAGUGCUGCUCCCCCUUGCUGAGGGAAACCCGGGUUUCCUCUGGCAAAUCGCCCUUCGGCAUGUGGCCUGGUGGGAGGACUGACCCCACCACUCUCUGGCAGGGGGUGGCCCAUCCCCAGCCACGUGACCAGUCCAGGAGUGGGCGUGCCACCCUCUCUGAGCCAGUGAGAAAUGGGAGACGUGCUGGGGUUUCUCGUGGCUUCUGCAGGACGGUGAUGCGAGACCGUCUCUCGCCUGGGGUGCUGUGUGAGGAUGCCUGGUCUUGCAGGGUCGGCUGCCAGCUCGCUGCCACCAUGCGAGAGCCAGGGGCUUCCUGGAGGCAUCGAGAUGGGUGGAGCUUCAGGAUGAAGCAUGAUACGCCUGGGCAGGCAGGGUGGCGAGAAGGAGAGGGGCCGGCUCACGGCGGCCUGAUUUCCGUCACCAGGUCACGCCUCGCCUGCAGUCUCGUCCCUUUGGACUGUUUUGUCCACGAGUCGACAGUUGCCUUUCUGGUUUAAGCCCAUUUGGUCUGGAUUUUCCGUCACUUGCAGAAUGGCGAAUCCAAAUGGACGUGGGCACGGCUGCCUGUUCUGUGAUUUUUCCCUUCUUCAGUCAGUCCUCUUGGCCAGGGUCAAGGCCGACCCCACGGCUCGGCGGGCGCCGUGAGCCCAAUAGAACCUCCCUCUCUGGAGACUCUCCCGGAACCCCACCUGGAGCUCCGUGUGUGCUUGCCUGCUACAAACGCCUAACUAAAAAAAAAAAAA